rnacentral:rRNA from 1 species
CCUACGGGUGGCAGCAGUGGGGGAUAUUGGACAAUGGGGGGAACCCUGAUCCAGCGACGCCGCGUGAGUGAAGAAGUAUUUCGGUAUGUAAAGCUCUGUCAGCAGGGGAGAAAGAAAUGACGGUACCUGACCAAGAAGCCCCGGCUAACUACGUGCCAGCAGCCGCGGUAAUACGUAGGAUGCGAGCGUUAUCCGGAUUUAUUGGGUUAAAAGGGUGCGCAGGCGGAUUUUUAAGUCAGCGGUCAAAUCGUGGGGCUCAACCCCAUCCAGCCGUUGAAACUGGGGAUCUAGAGUGUGCGAGAGGUAUGCGGAAUGCGUGGUGUAGCGGUGAAAUGCAUAGAUAUCACGCAGAACCCCGAUUGCGAAGGCAGCAUACCGGUGCACAACUGACGCUCAGGCACGAAAGCGUGGGUAUCGAACAGGAUUAGAUACCCUUGUAGUC